rnacentral:rRNA from 1 species
UAAAGAAUUUCGGUCAUCGAUGGGGAUGCGUUCCAUUAGCUUGUUGGCGGGGUAACGGCCCACCAAGGCAUCGAUGGAUAGGGGUUCUGAGAGGAAGGUCCCCCACAUUGGAACUGAGACACGGUCCAAACUCCUACGGGAGGCAGCAGUGAGGAAUAUUGGUCAAUGGGCGCUAGCCUGAACCAGCCAAGUAGCGUGAAGGAUGACUGCCCUAUGGGUUGUAAACUUCUUUUAUAUGGGAAUAAAGUGCAGUAUGUAUACUGCUUUGCAUGUACCUUAUGAAUAAGGAUCGGCUAACUCCGUGCCAGCAGCCGCGGUAAUACGGAGGAUCCGAGCGUUAUCCGGAUUUAUUGGGUUUAAAGGGAGCGUAGGCGGGUUGUUAAGUCAGUUGUGAAAGUUUGCGGCUCAACCGUAAAAUUGCAGUUGAUACUGGCAUCCUUGAGUACAGUAGAGGUAGGCGGAAUUCGUGGUGUAGCGGUGAAAUGCUUAGAUAUCACGAAGAACUCCGAUUGCGAAGGCAGCCUGCUGGACUGUAACUGACGCUGAUGCUCGAAAGUGUGGGUAUCAAACAGGAUUAGAUACCCUGGUAGUCCACACAGUAAACGAUGAAUACUCGCUGUUUGCGAUAUAC